rnacentral:misc_RNA from 1 species
AAUGCAAGUUGCGCCCGAAGCCACCUGGCCGAGGGCACAUCUGCCUAGGUGUCAUGCACCGUUGCCCCUAACCCCAUCUCCUUGCAAAGGGACGAGGGGGGCCUGUGGGGGCAAAAAUUGGCCUCCUAUGAGCUUCUGCAUGCGGUUGGCCUAAAAGCGAGUCCUCGGUGGCGCGCACCACGACAAUCAGUGGUUGACAAACCCUUGUGUUUCGUCGUGCAUGUCGUGUCGCUUAUUGUGUGCUCUUUGACCCUGUUGUGUCGGACUAGCGACGCUUCCAACGCAACCCCAGGUCAGGCGGGACUACAGGCUUUAA